AUUGAACGCUGGCGGAAUGCUUUACACAUGCAAGUCGAACGGCAGCACGGACUUCGGUCUGGUGGCGAGUGGCGAACGGGUGAGUAAUGCAUCGGAACGUGCCCAAUCGUGGGGGAUAACGUAGCGAAAGUUACGCUAAUACCGCAUACGAUCUAAGGAUGAAAGCGGGGGAUCGCAAGACCUCGCGCGAAUGGAGCGGCCGAUGUUAGAUUAGGUAGUUGGUGGGGUAAAGGCUCACCAAGCCGACGAUCUAUAGCUGGUCUGAGAGGAUGAUCAGCCACACUGGGACUGAGACACGGCCCAGACUCCUACGGGAGGCAGCAGUGGGGAAUUUUGGACAAUGGGCGCAAGCCUGAUUCGGCCAUUCCGCGUGCAGGAUGAAGGCCCUCGGGUUGUAAACUGCUUUUGUACAGAACGAAAAGCUCUGGGUUAAUACCCUGGGGUCAUGACGGUACUGUAAGAAUAAGCACCGGCUAACUACGUGCCAGCAGCCGCGGUAACAC
rnacentral:rRNA from 1 species